GACGAACGCUGGCGGCGUGCUUAACACAUGCAAGUCGAACGGUGAAGGGACCGGUUUUUGCUGGUUCUGGAUGAGUGGCGAACGGGUGAGUAACACGUGAGUAACCUGCCCCCUUCUUCUGGAUAACCGCAUGAAAGUGUGGCUAAUACGGGAUAUUCUGCGCCUGCUGCAUGGUGGGUGUGGGAAAGAUAUUGUUUCGGUGGGGGAUGGGCUCGCGGCCUAUCAGCUUGUUGGUGGGGUGAUGGCCUACCAAGGCGGUGACGGGUAGCCGGCCUGAGAGGGUGGACGGUCACACUGGGACUGAGACACGGCCCAGACUCCUACGGGAGGCAGCAGUGGGGAAUAUUGCACAAUGGGCGCAAGCCUGAUGCAGCGACGCCGCGUGAGGGAUGGAGGCCUUCGGGUUGUAAACCACUUUCGCCAGUGAAGCAGGCCUGUCCCUUUUGUGGGUGGGUUGACGGUAGCUGGAUAAGAAGCGCCGGCUAACUACGUG
rnacentral:rRNA from 1 species